rnacentral:rRNA from 1 species
UACGUAGGGUGCAAGCGUUGUCCGGAAUUAUUGGGCGUAAAGAGCUCGUAGGCGGUUUGUCGCGUCUGCUGUGAAAACUCGGGGCUCAACCCCGAGCUUGCAGUGGGUACGGGGCAGACUAGAGUGCGGGUAGGGGGAGACUGGAAUUCCUGGUGUAGCGGUGGAAUGCGCAGAUAUCAGGAGGAACACCGGUGGCGAAGGCGGGGUCUCUGGACAGUUCCUGACACUGAGACACGAAGGCCAGGGGGAGCAAAACGGGG